rnacentral:rRNA from 1 species
GCUUAGAGAGGGGUCAAUGUCCUGUCAGCUAGUUGGUAGGGUAAUGGCCUACCAAGGCUAAGACGGGUAGCCGGCCUGAGAGGGUGGUCGGCCACACUGGGACUGAGACACUGCCCAGACUCCUACGGGAGGCUGCAGUCGAGAAUCUUUCGCAAUGCCCGAAAGGGUGACGAAGCGACGCCGCGUGUGGGAAGAAGGCCUUCGGGUUGUAAACCACUGUCGGGAGUUAAGAAAUGUAAGGGUGUUAAUAGCAUCCUUACUUGACUGAGGCUCCGGAGGAAGCCACGGCUAACUCUGUGCCAGCAGCCGCGGUAAUACAGAGGCGGCAAGCGUUGUUCGGAAUUAUUGGGCGUAAAGAGCACGUACGCGGCUUUGUAAGUCAGUUGUGAAAGCCUUCCGCUUAACGGA